rnacentral:rRNA from 1 species
UGGGGAAUCUUGCACAAUGGGGGCAACCCUGAUGCAGCGACGCCGCGUGAGCGAUGAAGCCCUUCGGGGCGUAAAGCUCUUUCGACCGGAACGAUAAUGACGGUACCGGGAGAAGAAGCUGCGGCUAACUACGUGCCAGCAGCCGCGGUAAUACGUAGGCAGCAAGCGUUGUUCGGAGUUACUGGGCGUAAAGAGUGCGUAGGCGGUUGUCUAAGUUCGGUGUGAAAUCUCCCGGCUUAACUGGGAGGGUGCGCCGAAGACUGGGAAGCUGGAGUGUGGGAAAGGCAGGCGGAAUUCCUGGUGUAGCGGGGAAAUGCGUAGAUAUCAGGAGGAACACCGGCGGUGUAGACGGCUUGCUAGACCAUAACGGACGCUGAGGCACGAAAGCGUGGGUAGCAAACA